rnacentral:rRNA from 1 species
UGGGGAAUAUUGGGCAAUGGGCGAAAGCCUGACCCAGCAACGCCGCGUGAAGGAUGAAGGUCUUCGGAUUGUAAACUUCUUUGAUUAGGGAAGAAUUUUUGACCUACCUAAAGAACAAGUCACGGCUAACUACGUGCCAGCAGCCGCGGUAAUACGUAGGUGACAAGCGUUAUCCGGAUUUACUGGGUGUAAAGGGCGUGUAGGCGGUUUUGCAAGUCAGAUGUGAAAUUCCCAGGCUUAACCUGGGCGCUGCAUCUGAAACUGCAAGACUUGAGUACUGGAGAGGAUAGUGGAAUUCCUAGUGUAGCGGUAAAAUGCGCAGAUAUUAGGAGGAACACCGGUGGCGAAGGCGACUAUCUGGACAGUAACUGACGCUGAGGCGCGAAAGCGUGGGGAGCAA